rnacentral:rRNA from 1 species
GUAAACGGCGGCCGUAACUAUAACGGUCCUAAGGUAGCGAAAUUCCUUGUCGGGUAAGUUCCGACCUGCACGAAUGGCAUAAUGAUGGGGGCGCUGUCUCCAGCAGAGGCUCAGUGAAAUCGAAUUCGCCGUGAAGAUGCGGUGUACCCGCGGCUAGACGGAAAGACCCCGUGAACCUUUACUGCAGCUUGACAUUGAACUUUGAUCUUACUUGUGUAGGAUAGGUGGGAGGCUUUGAAGUGGUGACGCUAGUUGCCAUGGAGCCGUCCUUGAAAUACCACCCUGGUAAUAUUGAGGUUCUAACUCUGCUCCCUGAUCGGGAGCGAGGACCAUGUCUGGUGGGUAGUUUGACUGGGGCGGUCUCCUCCUAAAGAGUAACGGAGGAGUACGAAGGUGCGCUCAGACUGGUCGGAAAUCGGUCGUAGAGUAUAAAGGCAAAAGCGCGCUUGACUGCGAGACAGACAAGUCGAGCAGGUACGAAAGUAGGUCUUAGUGAUCCGGUGGUUCUGUAUGGAAGGGCCAUCGCUCAACGGAUAAAAGGUACUCCGGGGAUAACAGGCUGAUACCGCCCAAGAGUUCAUAUCGACGGCGGUGUUUGGCACCUCGAUGUCGGCUCAUCUCAUCCUGGGGCUGAAGCAGGUCCCAAGGGUAUGGCUGUUCGCCAUUUAAAGAGGUACGCGAGCUGGGUUUAGAACGUCGUGAGACAGUUCGGUCCCUAUCUACCGUGGGCGCUGGAAAUUUGAGAGGAUCUGCUCCUAGUACGAGAGGACCAGAGUGGACGAACCUCUGGUGUACCGGUUGUGACGCCAGUCGCAUCGCCGGGUAGCUAUGUUCGGAAGGGAUAACCGCUGAAAGCAUCUAAGCGGGAAGCCUACCUCAAGAUAAGAUUUCCCCGAGACUUUAUGUCUCCUAAAGAGCCGUUGAAGACUACGACGUUGAUAGGUUGGAUGUGGAAG